AGCAGCCGCGGUAAUUCCAGCUCCAAUAGCGUAUAUUAAAGUUGUUGCAGUUAAAAAGCUCGUAGUUGAAUUUCGGGAUCAAUAUGUUGGUCGUGCCUUGGUACGUACUGGCGUCAUUGGUUUCUACCUUCUGAAGAACCUCGAUGUCAUUAAUUUGGUGUCUUGGGGAAUCAGGACUGUUACUUUGAAAAAUUAGGGUGUUUAAAGCAAGCUCACGCUUGAAUACAUUAGCAUGGAAUAAUGAAAUAGGACGUUUGAUUCUAUUUUGUUGGUUUCUAGGAUCGACGUAAUGAUUAAUAGGGAUAGUUGGGGGCAUUAGUAUUCAAUUGUCAGAGGUGAAAUUCUUGGAUUUAUUGAAGACUAACUACUGCGAAAGCAUUUGCCAAGGAUGUUUUCAUUAAUCAAGAACGAAAGUUAGGGGAUCGAAGACGAUCAGAUACCGUCGUAGUCUUAACCAUAAACUAUGCCGACUAGGGAUCGGAUGAUGUUAAUUUUUAAUGACUCAUUCGGCGCCUUACGG
rnacentral:misc_RNA from 1 species